rnacentral:rRNA from 1 species
GGGAACUGAAACAUCUAAGUACCCCGAGGAAAAGAAAUCAACCGAGAUUCCCCCAGUAGCGGCGAGCGAACGGGGAGCAGCCCAGAGCCUGAAUCAGUGUGUGUGUUAGUGGAAGCGUCUGGAAAGGCGCGCGAUACAGGGUGACAGCCCCGUACACAAAAAUGCACAUACUGUGAGCUCGAUGAGUAGGGCGGGACACGUGGUAUCCUGUCUGAAUAUGGGGGGACCAUCCUCCAAGGCUAAAUACUCCUGACUGACCGAUAGUGAACCAGUACCGUGAGGGAAAGGCGAAAAGAACCCCGGCGAGGGGAGUGAAAAAGAACCUGAAACCGUGUACGUACAAGCAGUGGGAGCACGCUUCGGCGUGUGACUGCGUACCUUUUGUAUAAUGGGUCAGCGACUUAUAUUCUGUAGCAAGGUUAACCGAAUAGGGGAGCCGAAGGGAAACCGAGUCUUAACUGGGCGUUAAGUUGCAGGGUAUAGACCCGAAACCCGGUGAUCUAGCCAUGGGCAGGUUGAAGGUUGGGUAACACUAACUGGAGGACCGAACCGACUAAUGUUGAAAAAUUAGCGGAUGACUUGUGGCUGGGGGUGAAAGGCCAAUCAAACCGGGAGAUAGCUGGUUCUCCCCGAAAGCU